rnacentral:rRNA from 1 species
AUUGAACGCUGGCGGAAUGCUUUACACAUGCAAGUCGAGCGGCAGCGCGGCCUUCGGGCUGGCGGCGAGCCGCGGACGGGAGAGUAAUUCAUCGGAACAUGCCCAGUCGCGGGGGAUAACACCACGAACGACGUUCUAAUCCACCAUACGUCCUGACGGCCACAGCGGCGGAUCUCAACCCCCCGCGCGACUAGAGUGUCCGGUGUCAGAUUAGCCAGUUGGUGGGGUAAAGGCCUACCAAGGCGACGAUCUGUCGCUGGUCUGAGAGGAUGAUCGUACACACUGGCACUGAGACAGCGCCCAGACACCUACGGGAGGCAGCAGUGGGGAAUUUUGGAGAAUGGGGGCAACCCUGAUCCAACCAUUCCGCGUGAGUGAAGAAGGCCUUCGGGUUGUAAAGCUCUUUCGGCAGGAACGAAACGGUGGGCUCUAACAUAGUCUGCUAAUGACGGGACCUGAAGAAGAAGCACCGGCUAACUACGUG